ensembl:lncRNA
AUUUUAUUCAGCAGUGAAAUGCCAUGAAUACAGAAAAUAAUAAUGGCCGUCACAAUUCUCCACCAAGACCCUUUCUAAUGUCAGAGAACCUUGAACGCAUGGACACAGUACACGGUAAUGAAGUAUCAAAAGAAUUGGUCGAAUUUUGAUUGAAAAAGUAAAAUAACAAAAAGAAACAAAACAAACAGAAACAACCCAGACGUAUUCACCAAUUACAUUAACAUAUGUGUUUUGCUACAGUUUUCUCAAUUGACUGUAUACAUAGGGGGAUCAUAUUCCCGAUUAUUAUCAUCAUCAUCAUCAUCAUCAUCAUCAUUAUCAUCAUCGUCAGAGGAAAGCAGUAGAAAGGAUACAUGACUUAACUGCCAGACAUAAUGCUUCAUAAAGUAUGCACGGAGGUACAAGCAAUAAAUACACACAUUAGGUUUAGGCCUUACAGCUACGAAAGCAGAUGCAGAAGGGAGCAGAUUUGCUAAUCUUAGCAAGCAAUGAGAGAGAGAGAGGAAGAGAUAGAGAGAGUGAGAGAGAAGAGAGGAGAAGAGAGAGAAACAGUAAAAAUUCAGAAAAGAAACACUGAGAUUUUUUUUUCCCGCUUAGAAAAAAGUCUGGUAAUAUGCAUUCUGGGGGUUGACAGUUUUUAAUAUCCUUCCCGAAAAACAAAAAAACAGUAUUUCUGAGGUAUGCACUCAUGUGCAUUUGUACGUACAUUUACGUCGUCAUCCCAAUCUCAUCUUUAGUUUAUUAUAUUCUUUUAACUCUCGAUUUUUUCCAGUCCCACCAAAUGAUUCUUUUUUCUUUUUUUUUGACAUGCAUUUUUAAAACACAAUAUUUCCCUUACAAGGUAAUCUAUACAUUAUCAUUCUACAAAUGUUGGAGGACAACCUAUUACAAUGCAAAUCUCUCCGUAUCUCACCGCAGGGUCGUGUAAACGUCGGUUCGAAGCCACGUCCUACGAGACAAGCGUCGUGAAAACAAAUGAAAAAAACAUAAAGAAAAAAAACGGACUCAACGAUAAACGGAACGCAAAAAAACAAGAAAGAACGAACAGAAAAAAAAAAUAAACAGCUCUUGUGGCAUUCUAAUAAGUCGUGCAAUCUGUCAUAAUUGUUCUGGAUUUUUUUCCGUUGUUGUGCAGAGGUAGAAAAGCUCUUAGAGAGCUUCUUUUUGGGUAAGUGGGAGAACCCUUUUUUUUUGUCUGAAAGACUCAUCGUCCUUUUAUUUGGUGUGAUACGAUUAUUGUGAACGUGGUCUUCAAGUCGUUUUUUUUUUCUUUUAUUUCCUGCUGACUCCAACCUAAGCAUUGACGGGAUACGCAUUGUUUGUUGCUGUUUGUUACAUGGAACUGGAAUGAAGUGGACUGUGUGAAGGUGUGUGUGUGGGGAGAGGGGUUCACUAUGGUGUCUGUAAUGUAGGUACUACUGCAUGUGUCCUGUGUGUUCAGCUCUGGCAGCCAAUAAUAAGUAAAUUGUUGAAUUUUGGUUGUAGUCUUUUGAAUGCCAAAGUAUGCGUUAAAGUGUCGGUAAAGCAGACACACACACACACACAUACAUUACUUUUUAGGGACAAUGAUUCGAAAUGACCUUUUUUUGGCAGCAUGUACCAAAACAAGAACUAGAAUCGCUGGCAGACUAAACUUAACACGGCUAUAAAACCUGUUUGAGCGAGGGACUACGAUGUGUGUGUCUGAUUGUGAGUGUGAAAGUAUGUGCAUGAGUGUUUUGUAUGGGAGUAGAUGAGACUUUGUUGGUUUUAGUUUGUCUUCUCCUUGUAUUUCUUUAUCCCUUUCAUAGGAGGAGGCAGAAAUUUGUGUAACUUUGGUUUGACUGAAAAAACUGGAAAUGACCAUUAAAGCAACAACACUGUCCAAGAUGACAUAAUCAGCCGUGAGGCCAAUGACCGGGGGGAGGGCUGGGGGGUGACGUCUCCAUCAUACUUUUGUUUUCUGACGAGUCGCUAGAAAUACCAACACAUGGCUAAUCUGUACACUCUUUACAUCUGACGCCCGCCGACAGAUUGUCCCUCUUUAGCACGACGCCAUCUUGUAUCCGUACAGGUGAGAAAGCCAUUCUUCACAAAAACACACACACACACACACACACACACACACACACACACACACACACACACACACACACACACACACACACACACACACACACACACACACACACACACAUGCUGAGUAUUUCAAUGACAGCUUAAAGCAGAUAUCACCUAGAAUAGGCUCCACCCCUUCAUCCCCCCUACUUCCUCCUCAGAGAUCUUCCCUUCUUAAAUGGCUAUUAUUAUUUGCUUUUACAACUUGAACCAAGCCACGGUAUUUCAUGUCAACUUGAAAUUGUGACUUAUUUGGCAUCACUAGAUAUUUCACGUUUGGUUAGCGAUGUUUUUUUCAGUUUCCGUUUUUUUUUUUUGUGUGUGAUACGGCUCGGAAAAAAAAGUAGAAAAAGAAAGAAAAAAAGAAACUGAAGGAAAAACGCAUUUUAGACAUUUUAGACGCAAACAUUAGUUUGACCCACUUAGAAACAUGUUUUCACCAGGUUUGAAAAAAAAAGGACUCGAUGAGAAGAACUUGACACUUGAUGAUGUCCGCGGAUAAAAAACAACAAAACAAAAACAAAAUAAAACGUGAACACUGAAUAAAGCAAUAAUAGCAAAUCAUCCAACACAAUAGAAAAUAAACCACUCUUCACAACAACACAAUGCUUCUGCACGUCCAUUGAAUACACAAAGGUUUUUUUUGUUUCGUUUUGGUCAUGAUCCACGCGACACAGAUAGCUGCUCACUACCAGUCCAACCGCCUGCCACGCAAAGCCCGCAGUGAAAACUCACGAUGCUGCCUCUGCU